UACAGAGGUCUCAAGCGUUUGUUCGGAUUCAUUGGGCGUAAAGGGUGCGUAGGCGGCGCGGUAAGUCGGGUGUGAAAUCUUGGAGCUUAACUCCGAAACUGCAUUCGAUACUGCCGUGCUUGAGGACUGGGAGAGGAGACUGGAAUUUACGGUGUAGCGGUGAAAUGCGUAGAUAUCGUAAGGAAGACCAGUGGCGAAGGCGGGUCUCUGGACAGUUCCUGACGCUGAGGCACGAAGGCCAGGGGGAGCAAACGGGG
rnacentral:rRNA from 1 species